GGCACUAGAGCUGCAAUCCUAUCAUAAAAUAAAUCUGCCCUUCGAACAGAUAAUUGCACAUCCGAGCAAUUUUCACAUUAAAUUGAUGACGCUUUAAUAUAUAAUUUGACGCACAUUGCAAAGUUACUCGCAAAAAAUAUCCGGUUUGACUGUUAAUUAUGGAAGAAGUAUUUUGCUUCCAUAGCUUGUUGCAACAGCUUGUUAUUGGAGGUGGACAGUACGUUAGAAUCGCUUAACACUCGAAAUUUGUUGUAAAAAUAAAAAAUGUUAGACGACGAUGCGCCUGUAGUUGUACUUGAUCAGUCAGGUAUGUACAAAGCAACCGUAACUCCGUUUUUAAUAUAUUCUAGUUUUCGACUACGUUUUAC